AGGAUGACAUGCAUGUGAAGGAAGAUGUGUAUGCCGCUCGUCCCAGCUUGAUACACCCAUGAUCAUUGUUGUAACCCUGGCGAUAUUCAGAGCAAAAUAUCGUGGUUUGGAGUUUGAAAUCUGCCACUUGUGAGUCGUGUGAACAGCUGUACAGCGAAAGUGUUCACAACGUUACAAGAUGUAAAUGUUUUUAUUGACUGUGAAAUGAUAUGAACUGUGUUAUCUGUUCUUUAGAGGGGAGAUCAUUUGUGUUUUUCCAC